UACGUAGGGUGCAGGCGUUAAUCGGAAUUACUGGGCGUAAAGCGUGCGCAGGCGGUCUCUUAAGACAGGUGUGAAAUCCCCGGGCUUAACCUGGGAACUGCGCUUGUAACUGAGAGGCUGGAGUGUGGCAGAGGGGGGUGGAAUUCCAGGUGUAGCAGUGAAAUGCGUAGAUAUCUGGAGGAACACCGAUGGCGAAGGCAGCCCCCUGGGCUAACACUGACGCUCAUGCACGAAAGCGUGGGGAGCAAACAGGAUUAGAAACCCGGU
rnacentral:rRNA from 1 species